rnacentral:rRNA from 1 species
AUUGAACGCUGGCGGCAGGCCUAACACAUGCAAGUCGAACGAGUGGCGGACGGGUGAGUAAUGUCGGGGAAACUGCCCGAUGGAGAGGGAUAACUACUGGAAACGGUAGCUAAUAACGCGUACUAACGGAUGUGCCCAGAGGGGAUUAGCUUGUAGGUGAGGUAACGGCUCACCUAGGCGACGAUCCCUAGCUGGGCUGAGAGAAUGAUCGGCCACACUGUAACUGAGACACGGCCCAGACUCCUACGGGAGGCAGCAGGGGGGAAUAUUGCACAAUGGGCGAAAGCCUGAUGGAGCCAUGCCGCGUGUGUGAAGAAGGCCUUCGGGUUGUAAAGUACUUUCAUCGGGGAGGCGUUACCCGCAGAAAAAGCACCGGCUAACUCCGUGCCAGCAGCCGCGGUAAUAC